rnacentral:rRNA from 1 species
GACAGAGGGUGCAAACGUUGUUCGGAAUUACUGGGCGUAAAGCGUGUGUAGGCGGCCUUAUAAGUCGGAUGUGAAAGCCCAGGGCUCAACCCUGGAAGUGCACCCGAUACUGUAAGGCUCGAGUACUGGAGAGGUUGGUGGAAUUCUCGGUGUAGAGGUGAAAUUCGUAGAUAUCGAGAGGAACACCGGUGGCGAAGGCGGCCAACUGGACAGAUACUGACGCUGAGACACGAAAGCGUGGGGAGCAAACAGG